UACGGAGGGUGCAAGCGUUGUCCGGAAUUACUGGGCGUAAAGCGCGUGUAGGCGGUCCGUUAUGUCGGGUGUGAAAUCCCUCGGCUCAACCGAGGAACUGCGCCCGAAACUGGCGGACUUGAGUGCGGAAGGGGAAGGUGGAAUUCCCGGUGUAGAGGUGAAAUUCGUAGAUAUCGGGAAGAAUACCGGUGGCGAAGGCGACCUUCUGGCCCGCAACUGACGCUGAGACGCGAAAGCGUGGGGAGCAAACAGG
rnacentral:rRNA from 1 species